rnacentral:misc_RNA from 1 species
GAUGAAGAACGUAGCGAAAUGCGAUAAGUAAUGUGAAUUGCAGAAUUCAGUGAAUCAUCGAAUCUUUGAACGCACCUUGCGCUCCUUGGUAUUCCGAGGAGCAUGCCUGUUUGAGUGUCAUGAAAUUCUCAACCUUUUCAGCUUUCUUUGUUGAUCAGGCUUGAAUGUGGGAGUAUGCGGGCUUCUCAGAAGUCGGCUCUCCUGAAAUGCAUUAGCGGGACCUUUGUUGCCUGGCUUUGGUGUGAUAAUUAUCUACGCCAUUGUAGUCAAGCAGCUUAAAAUGAGGUUUCAGCUUCUAACCGUCUCCCCUGAGACAACUUUUUGACAAUUUGACCUCAAAUCAGGUAGGACUACCCGCUGAACUUAAGCAUAUCAAUAAGCGGAGGA